ACUGAAGGCCUUAGUAGUUAGUGCAAUUUGCUUCCUACAAGUAUUGAAAUUUGGUCUUGUGGGUGUCUGGAGCAUGAAAAUUAGCUUAUGUCAAUGAUUGAUCUAGUUGUGUUUGAUACUCAUUGGUCACUGAAGGUUUCGGAGAAGGCUUAAGCUUGGAUUCUUUUCUUGUUUUAGUCCUGGAUCGCAUGCUUGUAUUCCUAUUGGACUUGGGUCACAUGUUAUUUGCUGCAAUGCAAUUUUAGAUUGCAUUUUUUUUCACAAUAAAUGUUGAGAAUCAUUGUAAUUCAAACUCAAAUUGGAAAAUUUUCCAAUGUUGAGUUUGAGGGAGGAUGUUAAGAAUAAUGGUGA
rnacentral:lncRNA from 1 species